rnacentral:rRNA from 1 species
GACGAACGCUGGCGGCGUGCUUAACACAUGCAAGUCGAACGGAAAGGCCCUGCUUUUGUGGGGUGCUCGAGUGGCGAACGGGUGAGUAACACGUGAGUAACCUGCCCCUGACUUUGGGAUAACUUCAGGAAACUGGGGCUAAUACCGGCUAGGAGCUCCUGCUGCAUGGUGGGGGUUGGAAAGUUUCGGCGGUUGGGGAUGGACUCGCGGCUUAUCAGCUUGUUGGUGGGGUAGUGGCUUACCAAGGCUUUGACGGGUAGCCGGCCUGAGAGGGUGACCGGCCACAUUGGGACUGAGAUACGGCCCAGACUCCUACGGGAGGCAGAAGUGGGGAAUAUUGCACAAUGGGCGGAAGCCUGAUGCAGCAACGCAGCGUGCGGGAUGACGGCCUGCGGGUUGUAAACCGCUUUCGCCUGUGACGAAGCGUGAGUGACGGUAAUGGGUAAAGAAGCACCGGCUAACUACGUG